AAGUCAGAUGCAGACCAUUAUCUCAACCAGCAGUUAUGACUUAUGGUGCGAAUGAGGUCUUCCUUUAAGCUUUUUCACUUGUCUCUGUUGUUUACCGUUUAAAGUUUUCAUGCUUUUCCAAUGAAGUCUGAAGGAAUAUGGCUGAUAUCGGGCCACCUGCACCUUUCUGCUUCCUCAGCAUGUCUUUUCCAGUUUGAUGUGUGAAGAGAAGUGAAGGAUGCUGGUGUUUUGCCGUCUGCUUCCCGAAGAUGUUUAGAAAUUGUGACUUGUCAGAGAGAAUGUUGAUAUACAAUAAUACAAACAAGUUUGUUUUGCUCUCUAGACUCUAAAAAUGCCUGUGUUUAACAUCAUGAAUUAUGCGCUUUAAGUUCCGACUGCAGAACUACUAUGUCGUUUCCUCUUCAUUAUAUGAUUUCUCAUGAUUGAGACGCAUUAAAUCCUAGUUUACUAUAUGAGAUGUGGAGAUCUUUU
rnacentral:lncRNA from 1 species